CAACUGCCUGUCGGUGAAAUGAGUCCCCUCUCUGAGCUGCAGAGAAGUUUCCAUCAGAAUUGGUUCUAAAACCCUGAAGAAGGUAUCACAAAAAAAGCUGCUAUAAAUAUUUUUGCGUAUAUAGAGGCUUUCUUCUUAUCAAUGGAUUCCUUGGUGCAUAAGCCUAGUAAUGCAUUCCCUGGUUCAAAAGUGACUUGGAACAUUUUUUCAUAUGAUUAUGAAUGCGUUGCAGUUCUUCUUCUGAGAUGUGUUUGAAGCAUAUUCUCUACAUCCUGACAGAGAGCAGAUGGACUCAAGGCAUGGAAGGAGUCACAAUUUUGCACAUAGUCACAGUGUGAAUUUGUUUAGCUUGAAUAUGUUUAGGUGUUACAGGGGAUUUCUGUUAGGGGAAGGAAGGAGGGAAUAAUUAUGAUGAUUCAAAAAAAGGAAAAGUAAAAAAAGAAGGUUAUUGAAACGGUAAAAAUGUGAAGUUCAUAAAGAAGCAGAGACAAGCAAGGCAAUUUGGAAAGUAAUGUGUUACACUGACUAUAUUUUUUAAAAGAAUGGAAAAGAGAUCUACAAAUUUAUACACAAUCCUCUUUGUUUGCUCUAUUUUGCAUAUAUAAUGUGUGUGCUCCUAAUAUAUCAUCAUAAGAAAUCACAAAUGUUUUAUUCAAUGGUGUCACUGUGUAUGAUUUUAUGCAAAUCACAACUGUGGGGGCUCAAGAGACAUAAUACUGAGUUGUAGGACUCCCUUACCAGGGUUAUCCUUAAAACUUUGAAAGAACAAGUUGUGAAUUGUAGCUGUUGGAUAAGUGGCUCCUCUCUUGGAGUCACCUGUAAUCUGCA